GAUGAACGCUGGCGGCGUGCCUAAUACAUGCAAGUCGAGCGAACGGACGAGAAGCUUGCUUCUCUGAUGUUAGCGGCGGACGGGUGAGUAACACGUGGAUAACCUACCUAUAAGACUGGGAUAACUUCGGGAAACCGUAGCUAAUACCGGAUAAUAUUUUGAACCGCAUGGUUCAAAAGUGAAAGACGGUCUUGCUGUCACUUAUAGAUGGAUCCGCGCUGCAUUAGCUAGUUGGUAAGGUAAAGGCUUACCAAGGCAACGAUGCGUAGCCGACCUGAGAGGGUGAUCGGCCACACUGGAACUGAGACACGGUCCAGACUCCUACGGGAGGCAGCAGUAGGGAAUCUUCCGCAAUGGGCGAAAGCCUGACGGAGCCACGCCGCGUGAGUGAUGAAGGUCUUCGGAUCGUAAAACUCUGUUAUUAGGGAAGAACAUAUGUGUAAUUAACUGUGCACAUCUUGACGGUACCUAAUCAGAAAGCAACGGCUAACUACGUG
rnacentral:rRNA from 1 species